rnacentral:rRNA from 1 species
UCACCUCAAGAUGAGAUUUCUUUUAAGGGUCGUUAAAGACGAUGACGUUGAUAGGCUACAGGUGUAAAGGCAGUAAUGUCAUAGCCGAGUAGUACUAAUUACCCGUAGAAUUUCUUUAA